AAUCAACGCUGGCGGCGUGCCUCAGACAUGCAAGUCGAACGAUUAAAGCUCUCUUCGGAGAGUGCAUAAAGUGGCGCACGGGUGAGUAACACGUAAGUAAUCUACCUUUGAGUGGGAAUAACAGUCGGAAACGGCUGCUAAUACCGCAUAAUGCAGCGGCACCGCAAGGUGACAGUUGUUAAAGGAGCAAUCCGCUUAAAGAGGAGCUUUGCGGCAGAUUAGCUAGUUGGUAAGGUAAUGGCUUUA
rnacentral:rRNA from 1 species